GACGAACGCUGGCGGCGUGCUUAACACAUGCAAGUCGAACGGAAAGGCCCUGCUUUUGUGGGGUGCUCGAGUGGCGAACGGGUGAGUAACACGUGAGUAACCUGCCCUUGACUUUGGGAUAACUUCAGGAAACUGGGGCUAAUACCGGAUAGGAGCUCCUGCUGCAUGGUGGGGGUUGGAAAGUUUCGGCGGUUGGGGAUGGACUCGCGGCUUAUCAGCUUGUUGGUGGGGUAGUGGCUUACCAAGGCUUUGACGGGUAGCCGGCCUGAGAGGGUGACCGGCCACAUUGGGACUGAGAUACGGCCCAGACUCCUACGGGAGGCAGCAGUGGGGAAUAUUGCACAAUGGGCGGAAGCCUGAUGCAGCAACGCCGCGUGCGGGAUGACGGCCUUCGGGUUGUAAACCGCUUUCGCCUGUGACGAAGCGUGAGUGACGGUAAUGGGUAAAGAAGCACCGGCUAACUACGUGCCAGCAGCCGCGGUGAUACGUAGGGUGCGAGCGUUGUCCGGAUUUAUUGGGCGUAAAGGGCUCGUAGGUGGUUGAUCGCGUCGGAAGUGUAAUCUUGGGGCUUAACCCUGAGCGUGCUUUCGAUACGGGUUGACUUGAGGAAGGUAGGGGAGAAUGGAAUUCCUGGUGGAGCGGUGGAAUGCGCAGAUAUCAGGAGGAACACCAGUGGCGAAGGCGGUUCUCUGGGCCUUUCCUGACGCUGAGGAGCGAAAGCGUGGGGAGCGAACAGGCUUAGAUACCCUGGUAGUCCACGCUGUAAACGGUGGGUACUGGGUGUGGGGUCCAUUCCACGGGUUCCGUGCCGUAGCUAACGCUUUAAGUACCCCGCCUGGGGAGUACGGCCGCAAGGCUAAAACUCAAAGGAAUUGACGGGGCCCCGCACAAGCGGCGGAGCAUGCGGAUUAAUUCGAUGCAACGCGUAGAACCUUACCUGGGUUUGACAUGGAUCGGGAGUGCUCAGAGAUGGGUGUGCCUCUUUUGGGGUCGGUUCACAGGCGGUGCAUGCCUGUCGUCAGCUCGUGUCGUGAGAUGUUGGGUUAAGUCCCGCAACGAGCGCAACCCUUGUUCACUGUUGCCAGCACGUUAUGGUGGGGACUCAGUGGAGACCGCCGGGGUCAACUCGGAGGAAGGUGGGGAUGACGUCAAGUCCUCAUGCCCCUUAUGUCCAGGGCUUCACGCAUGCUACAAUGGCUGGUACAGAGAGUGGCGAGCCUGUGAGGGUGAGCGAAUCUCGGAAAGCCGGUCUCAGUUCGGAUUGGGGUCUGCAACUCGACCUCAUGAAGUCGGAGUCGCUAGUAAUCGCAGAUCAGCAACGCUGCGGUGAAUACGUUCCCGGGGCU
rnacentral:rRNA from 1 species